CCUACGGGAGGCAGCAGUGAGGAAUAUUGGUCAAUGGACGAGAGUCUGAACCAGCCAAGUAGCGUGAAGGAUGACUGCCCUCUGGGUUGUAAACUUCUUUUAUAUGGGAAUAAAACGUUCCACGUGUGGGAUUUUGUAUGUACCAUAUGAAUAAGGAUCGGCUAACUCCGUGCCAGCAGCCGCGGUAAUACGGAGGAUCCGAGCGUUAUCCGGAUUUAUUGGGUUUAAAGGGAGCGUAGGUGGAUUGUUAAGUCAGUUGUGAAAGUUUGCGGCUCAACCGUAAAAUUGCAGUUGAAACUGGCAGUCUUGAGUACAGUAGAGGUGAGCGGAAUUCGUGGUGUAGCGGUGAAAUGCUUAGAUAUCACGAAGAACUCCGAUUGCGAAGGCAGUUCACUGGACUGCAACUGACACUGAGGCUCGAAAGUGUGGGUAUCAAACAGGAUUAGAUACCCCGGUAGUC
rnacentral:rRNA from 1 species